rnacentral:rRNA from 1 species
GUGGGGAAUAUUGGACAAUGGGGGGAACCCUGAUCCAGCCAUGCCGCGUGUGUGAAGAAGGCCUUUUGGUUGUAAAGCACUUUAAGCGAGGAGGAGGCUACCGAGAUUAAUACUCUUGGAUAGUGGGCGUUACUCGCAGAAUAAGCACCGGCUAACUCUGUGCCAGCAGCCGCGGUAAUACAGAGGGUGCAAGCGUUAAUCGGAUUUACUGGGCGUAAAGCGCGCGUAGGUGGCCAAUUAAGUCAAAUGUGAAAUCCCCGAGCUUAACUUGGGAAUUGCAUUCGAUACUGGUUGGCUAGAGUAUGGGAGAGGAUGGUAGAAUUCCAGGUGUAGCGGUGAAAUGCGUAGAGAUCUGGAGGAAUACCGAUGGCGAAGGCAGCCAUCUGGCCUAAUACUGACACUGAGGUGCGAAAGCAUGGGGAGCAAACAGGAUUAGAACCCUGGUAGUCC